CCUACGGGUGGCAGCAGUAGGGAAUAUUGCUCAAUGGGCGCAACCCUGAAGCAGCAACGCCGCGUGCAGGAUGAAGGUUCUCGGGUUUUAAACUUCUUUUGUUAGAGAAGAUAAUGACGUUAUCUAACGUAUAAGCACCGUCUAACUCCGUGCCAGCCGCCGCGGUAAUACGGAGGGUGCAAGCGUUAAUCGGAAUCACUGGGCGUUAAGAGCGCGUAGGCGGGAUAGCAAGUCAGAUGUGAAAUGCUAUGGCUUAACCAUAGAACUGAAGUUGAAACUGUUAUUCUAGAGUAUGGGAGAGGUAGGUGGAAUUCGUGGUGUAGGGGUAAAAUGCGUAGAUAUCAAGAGGAAUACUCAUUGCGAAGGCGACCUGCUAGAACAUAACUGACGCUGAUGCGCGAAAGCGUGGGGAGCAAACAGGAUUAGAUACCCGUGUAGUC
rnacentral:rRNA from 1 species